GAGUUGGUAUCUCAGUGGUAGAGUGCAUGCUUUGUAUGUAUGAUGUCCUGGGUUCGACAAUAAAAUAGUUUA